rnacentral:rRNA from 1 species
AAUAUUGGACAAUGGGCGAAAGCCUGAUCCAGCCAUGCCGCGUGCGUGAAGACGGUCCUCGGAUUGUAAAGCACUUUAAGUUCGGAGGAAGGGCUUUAGGCUAGUACUCUGAAGUUUUUACGUUAUCAACAGAAUAAGCACCGGCUAACUCUGUGCCAGCAGCCGCGGUAAUACAGAGGGUGCAAGCGUUAAUCGGAAUUACUGGGCGUAAAGCGCGCGUAGGUGGGUCAGUAAGAUGGGUGUGAAAUCCCCGGGCUUAACCUGGGAACUGCUUUCAUAACUGCUGAGCUAGAGUACGGUAGAGGGUGGUGGAAUUUCCUGUGUAGCGGUGAAAUGCGUAGAUAUAGGAAGGAACACCAGUGGCGAAGGCGACUACCUGGACUGAUACUGACACUGAGGUGCGAAAGCGUGGGGAGCAAAC